CGGAGCCGAAUCUGCCGACAACCGCGGCACCAGCACAGCCCUAGGGAGCAGACCCUGGCCUCAGCACCCGGCCCGAGCGCCCAGAGGAGAAUCAGCUGGGACCCUGCACUGAUUGAGAGCCUCCAAGGUAGGCGAGCCCUGGAGACCUGCGGGCAGCGCGCGCCAGGUGGGUGGGUGUCCCAGUGCCCUUGGAGCGGGUGUCCCCAGCGGAGCUCGGGGCACCAAGGACAUUUCCUGGAAAAGGGUCUUAGUGGAGAGAAAAGCUUCACCAAGGUAAACCUCUGUUCUGAGCCUGGGCGAGAAGUUUCUUUGCCCCAGAGAAGAGAAAGAGUUACCUUUCCCCAACAAAGGAACCAAUCUCUCCUUAGCCUGGCGCACACCUGAUUAUUUAUUUAGUUUGUUGUUAUCCAUUUCCUCUGUCAUAGGUCCCCGCGAUUUCUGUCUGCUAAUUUCAGGAGCGGUGGAGAAAAACUCUCUGGAAAACCGUCCCCUGUAUUCCAGCGUGGCAGUCACUGCGUCCUCAGUUUGUAACCGCCAAGAGGAAUGAGGGUGGUGGUCUGGCCCCUCAUUCAUUCAUUUCUCGCAGCUGCCAGCGCAGCAUCAGGACAGACCCCUGCUUGACAGUUUGGUACUGUUUCUGUUGAGGAGGCAUCUUAGAUAUUUUUGAAUUUCAUAUUGCAGAGCCCUAAGCAGCACUGCAAAGAAACAGUGUUACUUUUCCAAGAGUAGUACAGGACAAUGCAAAUGUCGUUUUGAGAUUGGGUGGUGCCAUAGUUGUGAAUUUCCAGCUUUUUUUUUUUUUUCCAAAAGAAAGAAGAAAAAAAGUCGAUGGAAUAUAAACCUCAGAACAUGCAACCAGCCCUGAGCAUAACCCAAGUUGAUCACCAUUAUAUUAUGGUCGUUUUAUUUGAGGAAUCAAACCUCUCUUCCUUUUUCGGUGUGUAAAGAGUAGAUGAGGUGUCAAACACAAAAGGGAGUUAUUCUGCAUUUGCAACAGAGGAAAGAUAAGCUGACCUUCUGUUUUUACCUAGUACCAUUAAAUAUUCAGCUCUAUGGAAAGACUGGUUUAACAGAAAUUUGAGCUGGGCUGGAUUGUCAGGGGCCCUAGCACACACAAUUGGAUCUGUUGUAAAGGUUGUUUCCCUCCCCCUCACAAUUUGAGAGUGAAGGUCCCUAACAGGGAGGAAUUUGGGCCUAAGGCAGUUAAGAUCCUAUGUGGUUCCUGUUCUAUUUAUGGAAUGAAUGAAAACAGGUCCUACUUCCUGGGACCCAAGCAAACUUGAUAAGUUUCUUACUUUUCCUUGCUUUUUUUUUUUUUUUAAAUUUUUUUUUUAUUGGUUGUUCAAAACAUUAUAAAGCUCUUGACAUAUCAUAUUUCAUACAUUAGAUUCAAGUUGGUUAUGAACUCCCAAUUUUACCCCAAAUACAGAUUGCAGAAUCACAUCGGUUACACAUCCACAUUUUUACAUAAUGCCCUAUUAGUAACUGUUGUAUUCUGCUACCUUUCCUAGCCUCUACCAUCCCCCCUCCCUCCCCUCCCAUCUUCUCUCUCUACCCCAUCCACUGUAAUUCAUUUCUCUCCUUGUUUAUUUUCCUUGCUUACAAAAUAAAUUAAUACCUUGUCCCAACUAAAAAGGGACUUUUUAAAUGAAUACUGAAGCUACUUCCUGAAUUACUAAUGGGCAUGUUGUUUAUUAGGCUAGUUAUUUACAAUGUGCUCAGCAGUGAACUUGAAUUCUAAUUUAAAGUUCGGCCCAAACUAAAAAAUGUAAGCUAGAUCUGGUAAAAAAUGAAAAAUAUGAGGUAUAUUUAUUUGGGAUAAUGACUGAAAAGGUUAAAAAUUGAGUUUUAAAGGAAUUCAAGAGUCUUGUAAAAUUGUAGUUUUGAACUGAGAUAUUUACAUCAAAAUUGUAUGAUCAUUUAUAGAUUGAACAUUUUUAUAAUGGCAAAAUUUUACUAUGGAUUUACUAGCAUGUUUAAAUGAAUUUACCUUUUACUAAGCACAAAAACAGCCAUCCACAUGGGUUUGGAAAACAAGUGUAUAUGGGGAUAUAUGUGCAUAUAUUCAGUUUUAGAAAAUAUUUGUAUUUGUUACAUCCAUGAUUUGGUGGAUAAAUACUGGCCUUGUUCACACAUUCAUUGGGCCAGUAUUUAUUGAGCACCUUUUAUACAGGUUACUGUAUUCUGUGUUGGAGCGCAAGGGGACAUAUCACUAUCUUAUUAUACAACAUUGGGGUCUUGAGGGGCACCCCAAGAUCACAGAUUAGGAACCACAUCAAUAACCAUCAGUUUUGAGAGUGACUAAACGUAGGUUGGUUUCCAAUGCCAUACUCUCUUACACUGAUUUAAAUCAUCAAUUCUAAAAAAUUAUAAAGAAGCUUUCAUAUUAUUCUGUUCAGUGAUCUCUCUCUCUCUCUCUUUCUCUCUCUCUCUUUCAGGUUGGGGAAAAAUUUAGGAAUCAUGUGUUCUAAUUUUAAUAUUAUUAAAUAUUGAAGUAUUAAACCUAAAAUAGCUAAACAUGGAUUUCAUACACAUUAAAUGGAAACUAAACUUGUACUGUGAAUGUCAGUCAUCUAGGUGAAAAAUAUCUUAAAAUGUAGAAAAUAAUUUUUCCUUUAAAUUAAAAAAAAUGUGACUACAAUUAUAUUUAUCCCAGAGGGGGGAAAAAGUCACUUUAUUCCAGUUAUACUUACUUUUUAUUAUUUUUUAAAAAACUACUUUGUUGGAAGUGUAAUUUACAUAACCAUAAAAUACACCCAAGUCCAGUUCAAUGAUUUUUUGUAAAUUUACAUGAUCAUAUAAGUAUCACCACAGUCCAAUUUUAGAUCAUUUCAUCAUUCCCCCAAAUCCCUGUUGUCUGUCUGUGGUCCCUCAUCUCCACCCCUCACCCUGGGCAACUACUUUUCUACUUUCUCUAUUUAGAUUUGCCUUUUCUGGACAUACCAUGCAAAUGAAGUCAUGUAACAAAUGCUCUUUAGCAUCUGUCUUCUUUGAUAUAGAAUAAAGUAUUUGAGGCUCUUUCAGGUGGUAGCAUAUAUCUGCACUUGGUUUCUUUUUAUUGCUAACCAGUAUUCAUUCAAUUUGAUGACUGUACCAUACUUUGUUAAUCAGUUGGUGGCUAUUUCUGCAAUUUUUUAAAAUAGUAAGAUAGAUAUAUUGGUCUGGCUUCCAUAGCAGCAUAAUUUGAAAAUAACUGACAUGAGCCUUCUUCUUAUUAGAUGCUUUGAUUCUCCUUCAUGAUUUAAAAUAUUAAUGCCAAGAGUUAAACACCUAGGUUCCUUUUAAGCAAGGGAGCUUUCCUAUGUGGAACUAUUUAUUUAGAGAACCAAAUAAGACCUUCUUAAUGUUGAUUUUUGGUGUGCCUCUUUAAGGAGUCAGAAAUCUUGAAUAGCAGUUCCCAGUUUAAAUUUUUUCUUAUACACUCCUUUUAUCCCGCCUUGUGCUACCAUGGCAGGUACAUGGCGGGGGUGGGGGGGGGCAGGUCAUGCUUGACAACUUAGAGAAAUUUCUCUACUUGAGUAGCAACCCUUCUCUAAAAAUCUGGCAGUUUUUGUGAAUCAAAAGAAGAAAAGACAGUAUCUUUCUGAAUGCCUUUCAGUUACUACUCAAAUUGAAAGUUCAUAUUGGGGAAAACAGAACAUUAAAAUAAAUAGCUUGAAGUUUAUUUUAUUGGUAACUUAGAAUCAAGAGAUUUUCUUAAACAUCUAAAAUCUGAAAAUAAGACAGCCUAGUAGGUCAAAUAAUAUGGCUUUCCAAAGCUAAAUGUGUUCCUGUGGAAUUCUGUUUUUGUCUGAAAUGUCCAAACAACUUCCUCUAAUUCUUAGGUGAAGGCAGAAGUUUAGUGAUCAAUCUCAGUUGGUAGCAACACCCCCAUCCUUGGGCAGGAUUUUAAGAAUUCUAAAACUGAUAUAUUUUUCUUGCCUCAUAGUGAUAACUUUAUUCUAAAUAUCUCCUAAGAAGUCUAUUCCGUUUUCAGGAAUCCACCUUCACCCUUCUUACUUUCACGUGUUUCAGGUAUCCAGGUGGAAACAUUCACCACGCUGUGUGGGUCCUCCAGGAGGACAAAGGCUUGAUGGGCCCAGCGCUGUGAGCACCUCUGACCUGGGUUCCCUAGGUAGUGAUGAUCUGGUAUGAGGAGCCUGGUGCCUCUCAGCCAGGACAGGCAGCUGCCUCUCAGCCUUGUAACUUUCUGGAUUUUAGUAGAAGGCUGCUCUCUGAUAAGAUGGACAUCUUCGUGGCACAGAAGGGUGAGCAGAGAGUGACCAAAAGGAGGUUCCAGGGCUUGAAUAGACUUUCUACUCCUGGACCCCAUCACUCACAUGCAAAUGGACAAAGAUGGAGGAUAAAAACAUGUUGUGCAUCUAAAAAAUUGUUAGGAAAGGGAUGAAUAGACAAGAGAAGGAAUCUCUCAUUUGUGUUUAGAUUUAAUUCUUGUUGCAGGUGUUCAGGUCUUUCCAUCUAUCUAUCUUCCUUCCUUCCUUCCUUCCUUCCUUUCUUCCUUUCUUUCGAUUGAACUCAGGGGCACUUGACCACUAUGCCACAUCCCCAGCCCAAUUUUGUAUUUUAUUCACAGACAGGGUCUCAUUGAGUUGCUUAGUGCCUCAACAUUGCUGAGGCUGGUUUUGAACUGGUGAUCCUCAUCCUCCCAAGCCGCUGGGAUUACAGGCGUGUGCCACUGCACCCUACUUCUUGUAUUUCUUAUAUAUUCUAUAUAUUUCCUCCCACUCUUUCACCUUAGUAAAUAGCACUCAUCAUUAAUUUCCUUGCAAUGUCUAAAAGACUUUUGUGUCUGUUGUUACAUUAGAUAUCAGCUGUUACUAUCUUGAGCUUCAACAGUUCAACCUACCUACUACCAACAUACCUACCACCUCUCUACUUACCUGUUAGAGUUCACUUGGCUGCUCAUUAACAGUUCUGAGUUCAUUGCUGUUUCUUGUCAUUUACACUUUUUUUUGGUUAAUAUUUAAAUGAAGGAAAACAAAUUCAGUUCAUUGUGACUUCCAGUUCUCAUAAAAUCAGGGAGAGCCCUUGAAUUUAAAAAUCUCAAUUGUUUCUUACUUUUUCUGGGGUACUGCACAUUAUCAUGAAAAUAAAAAGUUUUAUAUGCUAAAUCUUUUUUUCCCUGUAUUGUAUUAUUUUGUAAGUUUUAGCAUAUGGCUACAGUCAUGGAACCACCAUCACCAUCAAGAUAUGAACAGUUACUUUAUUCCCCUCCAAGAUCCUCUAUUUCUCUCUUCCCCAUUUCCAGUUCCAAGCAACCACAGAUCUGUUUCUACUUCCUAUAGUUUUGAGGACCAUGCCUUUACUACGGACCUUUAGGGACCCUCCAGACCUAAACUAUAGUAAUUGAUUUUGUUGCUGAUUAAUAUUCGCCUUGAAUUGUUUCCAGUGUUGAUAAUUAAGAACAUCAGUGUUCAGGUUCUGUGGAGCAUACAUUUUUAUUUUAUUGGGUAGAUUGCUAGGAAUUGGAUUUCUGGAUUGUACAGUUUAACUGUAUAGGAAGCUGUCAACCUGUUGUCCAUAGUGGCUGUGUGUUUUGCAUUUCCAUCAGCAAUAGACAGGAGUUCCAACUGCCCAGCGUGCUCACCAGUACUUGGUAUUACCUCCACCGGCCAUGGCUAAUCUUAAAAUGAAGUAAAUUAUGUUGUAGCUGAAAUGCUCUGGGAUGAGGCUAGAAACCUAUAGAUAUUUUGUAAACAUCUGAGCUAUUGACUCUUAGAAGCUUUUGUAAAGCCACACAAGAAAUUUUCCAAAAGCACACCAUGUAAAUGUUACAGGUCCCUGUGGUAUACAUCACUGGCAUCUGCUUCUUCUCGUAUUUUCUUGACUGAUGAGUCCUAACUGACUUCUGGUUUGAUUUGUUAGUUGGGUGAUUUGUUAAAUGGGUGACAGAGGAAAAAACGAGGGACAAGUGAGCUUAGGUGUCGCCACUUUCAAAUUGAAAUCCUAUAAGUAAACGUCCUGUGGUUGUGAAUAUAAACAUAAUUAUUUAAUAUUCACUCAAUAUGCAUCAUGGCAGAUACUCUGUGAAGUCCUUUGAAUGCCUCGUCUCAUUUGAUGGCCACAUAAUUCCAUGAGGAGGUACACAUUCUCACAUGAAUUUUCAGAUGAAGGAGCUGAAGUCUGGAGAGUUUAAAUAGUUGUGUAAGGCGGCCCUGGGUAAGAAAGUAAAGUAGUCUUCUGGACACUACUGAUGGCAUCCAAUUCCUUUGUUUUUAAGCCACAAAGCUAUAUUGCCUGUGUUCCUAGAAUAAAUCUACUGGUAUAUCAAUAUCUGCUCAGGUUCCUGAAGGACACACUGGGACCCUCACAUCAGGAGUUCCUUGACGUGACUUAGAAACUCACUUUGAAAUACCUUGAGUCCUAUCUCAGGCCCAAGAAGAAGGCUUAAAAAUUUAUUCAGAAUACUGCCAAGGCACAGUGGUAAGCUGGAAAGAGCUAACCGACUCCAGGCCAGAGUCAGCCAGGCCUUGGGUUAGGAUGCUGUGACCCUCGUGACUAGCUGGCUGUCUUUGCUCAAUCUUGCUGAGCCUCAUUUCCUCGUCUGUAAAUACCACUACUGACCUCUCUGUGCUGCUGAGACAGGUGACAUAGUCUACCCAGCACAUUCUGGGCACUCCACAGAUCCUGGGCACUCCAAAGAUCCUCUCUCACACCCUCCUUCCUGAAUGAGAGGGGCUCAUAUGAUUUGUAUCUCUUUGUAACCUAGUUGUUGAGCUGGCCCUGACUGACACCUUCAGCUGUUUCAUAGUUUGAAAUCAGACUGUAUAGCCUGUUUCAGUACAAAGACAUUUGGACUUGAGGUCAGUCUGUCUGAGUUCAGGUUAUGAUGAAAAAAUUGUAUCGUUCCUCUUUGCUUUGGUUGCACUUAUUCCGUGCUGAGGACCAUGCCUAUAAGGUAGUAUUGUAAUGAUUGAUUGUGACAAUAUAUGGAAAAUGAUUCUUUGGUAAGUGGUACAGCACUUUUUUAACAGUAUGUAUUUGUACAUAGUAUUUGCACUAAUAUUUAAUUCCUUUUCCCUAUAAAAUAAAUAGCCAUAUUUCAUAUCUAAGAGUUUUAUAUAGGAGUAAAUUUAUGUGUAUGUACCAAUGAGAGAGUAGCACGUGGUCGAAUGAAGUUAAAUCUACUGAAGAAUGAAUUACCUCCACAAAGACUGGCAGACAGAAGUGGGGUUCAGUGAGAACAGGCACGUGUUUGGUGUAGUGUGUAUUAUUUCUAGGUAAGCUGCUCAGUCACCUGAGAUGGAGCCAGCUGACACUGGAUGUCACCAUUGUGCUGUGUAAUGUAGCUGUGGCACAGGUGUGCUGCUAAAGAUUCAGGGCAAGGCCAUUCUCUCUGAGGACUUGAAGGGA
rnacentral:lncRNA from 1 species